GACGAACGCUGGCGGCGUGCUUAACACAUGCAAGUCGAACGGAAAGGCCCUGCUUUUGUGGGGUGCUCGAGUGGCGAACGGGUGAGUAACACGUGUGUAACCUGCCCUUGACUUUGGGAUAACUUCAGGAAACUGGGGCUAAUACCGGAUAGGAGCUCCUGCUGCAUGGUGGGGGUUGGAAAGUUUCGGCGGUUGGGGAUGGACUCGCGGCUUAUCAGCUUGUUGGUGGGGUAGUGGCUUACCAAGGCUUUGACGGGUAGCCGGCGUGUGAGGGUGACCGGCCACAUUGGGACUGAGAUAGGGCCAAGACUCCGACGGGAGGGAGAAGUGGGGAAGAUUGCAAAAUGGGAGGAAGCGUGAUGCAGCAACGCCGCGUGCGGGAUGACGGCCUUCGGGUUGGAAACCGAAUUCGCCUGUGACGAAGAGUGAGUGACGGUAAUGGGUAAAGAAGCACCGGCUAACUACGUG
rnacentral:rRNA from 1 species